UUGUCCAUGUGUUUGUUUCUCUGUCACAUACUUAACCAUGCACGCUUGUUUCGGCUCAAAACUACCAAAAACCUGUGUUCUAGAAUGCGGUGAGUCUCCUAAACCUUUAGAAAUUUGAGCUUAAGGAAAACAGUAAGAGGAAAUCUCAACCCAACAAAGAAAGGACAAGCUACUCAAUUUUCAGGCUUGCCAUUUGGGGAAGCUCCUACUAACUAUGAUGCACAAAAAUCAUCCUCCAAAAUCUUUCUUACUAGCCCACAAAAAGUUCUUCUUUUACAGUACAGUCUGUAAUUUGAAUUUCCUCAAAAAUUUUCUCGUAAAACUUCACUUGCCUAUCGGGGAAGCUAGGUACAGAAUCCACUAGCCACUAGCCUGACUUGAAAAUCCAGUGGCCCUGGGCUAUCAGUCAGGACUUUCUUUGCACAUUGCCUAAAUUUCCAAACAAAAUAAGUAUGAAGAAUCUCUUGUUCUUCAAUUUCAGCAAUUGUGGGAAAAACAAAUUGGAUGGAGAUAAAAUGAAAACAUUAUUUUGUGCAGUGUGUUUGUCAAAAACAUCGCUCAGUUUUUGACAGAAGUAGCCGCCUUUUUCAGGGUAUUGAUUGUUCACCAUCCACUUGAUUUCAUCAUGAAACCUUGGUUAGCUAUAUUAGAUACCACUUUUUUAUACACACAGUUAUUCAAAGCAUAUUGGUUGUCAGAAGUUGCAAGGAAUACACCUGUAAACAGACUAACUGUACUGUUCAGUAAUUAUUGAUAGGACAGUUUUAUUGUAGAGUUACAGCUUUUGAAGUCUACAUGUAUCUCUCGGCAUCUUCAAGAAAGACAAGAAAUGGAGAUAAAAAUGUUUUUUAUAACGAAAAAUCAGUCAAAUUUCCCUUAUUGUAGAGUGCCUUAAAUCAAAUUACCAUAAUUAUAUAGCUUUCACCUGUCGUGACUAUUGAUUGGAAAAAUAAAUACUAUUGAACCUGGAUCUUACUGUUUUGGGAAGGGAGGGGUAUGGGUGGGCUCGCUACUUUCAGGGGGUUGCUACUUUCAGGGGAUCGCUACUUUCAGGAUUUAUUAGAGGCCAUAAUUUUUUGGUGUUACUGUCUGGGAGGCGCUACUGUCAGAGGGUCGUUACUUUUGGAAGUUUGCGGUAGUUGUCUUUUUUGCAUGUAUUACACAUGUUGGAUGAUUAAUUAAUAGUAUUAUUAUUAACUGAACAUUAACAUUGUUUCUUUUCCUUUCUCAUCUUUACAAAAACCUUAAAUGAAGAUUGCACAUUCACCAAGAUUGAAGGCGAAGAAACUUCUGUGGGAAGCCUGACAGAUAUCCCAUUCAUGGAAAAAGAAAAAUUUCCUUUGGAUUUCUUCCCAAAGUUCAAAUGGUCACGUAAGGGUUUCAUGAGAACACGGUGGAAGAUAAACAAAUGGUAAGACACAAGCUGGCUAAGUAAGAAAAUCUUACUCUACAUGUAGUGUAGAGGGUGCUGUUCAUUUUCAUGCAAAUCAAACUCAAAUUAUUUUCAAAUACACUGUAAGAGAUUCCUGAGAGA